GUCUCUUUCUCCGUAACGGCGAACAUGCGGUGUGCUCGUUGUGCUGGGCUUGUCGAUUUUGGAAGUUUUUCUCCCCACGUGACCACACCUGGGGAAGAUGACCAUGGAUGAAGAUAUAUUCAUAAAUCUGCUGGUGGUGUAGAUUUUCAGGCUAGAUGUGGCCAUGGGUCUUGAGUUAAACCAGGAAACUGCCAAUUUGCUGCUUGAAAUGGAACCUGCGUGCAUGACUUGCAACAUCUGACUUCUGAAGAUGGGGUAAGAAAUGUUCCACAAAUGUGUAAUGCUCAAACCAAUUUUGUACUGCCAUGUCAGAGCCUUGCAUCUCUGUUGUGGAAUCAAAGAAUUGGGAGAGAAUCUUCAGGACUUUGGCACAGGUUUAGAGCUAGUUGAACAAAUGCAUCAAGGUGUUGCUGGAGAUGGGUGUGUGCGGCUUGGGAGAUGCUCUUUGUUUGAUUUUUACCUUUUUAGUCAAAAUGCAACAAGGAAAAGUGCUUAUAGAUGGCACGAUAAAUUUCAACAAGAUUCAUUUGGGUUAUCUAUAUAAUAAACUAACAUCUUCACAUUAUUAUACAAACUUUCAACACUGAAUAAAGUUUACCUAGAUUUUAUGCCGUCC
ensembl:lncRNA